rnacentral:lncRNA from 1 species
CAACAAUAAUAAUAAUAUUACACAAUUAUAGCUCCAUAACCUGCCUGACAACGUCUAUGUAUGGAACAAUGUACACAAUACUACACAAUUAGAAUAUUUUCUCUCUAACUCUUAUCAGUAGCUCCGAAAUGCAGAAAUGUAGGCAAGCGGGGAGUAGGGGUGGGAGAAAGUGUGACAGUGCAAAAAGGGGAGAGAGAGAAACUGCAGGCAUGAAGAUUAACCAUGUGAGCUCCGUAAAGUAACAAGACAGAAGGACAGAGAUUUAUACGUUUGGAAACCAGAAAUCUUUGCUAACUUUCUCAUUUUCAGCAUAGCUUCUUCCCCUGCCCUCUCUUUAACAAUAUCACAAGCCAAAUACCCCUUAGCUGGUCUAGUAUGUGCUUGCCCCUUUUUUGACCAAGCGAGGUCUGCCAAGUAAAGGAGACCAAGUGAGAGGGAAGAAGAAGUAGGAAAGUCUACAGUGCUCGACUGACUAGUCACGAUGGUCUGUGCACCCGGGGGAGGUGGCCACAGACCGGAGGGGGCGAGCGUGGGUGACUAACACAGCUCUGGGCAACAAACACAGGAGAGAUAAAGGACAAAUGAAAAGAUGAAAGUGGUUACACUAACAAGAAGACAUUUGCAAAAAUCACAAACAUAGAGAUGGGUGUAAACCCCAGAAUCCAGAACUAGCCACACUAUAUACAUACACACACACACACACCAAGGGUACCCACACUGUAACAACAAUUAAACAAAAAAACACAGAAUGACAGAGAGUAAAAUGGCCAUGUACAUGUUAACACCACUAGUACCAAAUAUUUAAAAUGUAGCAAUCAAACAAAAUCCCAGCCCCACCGGCUGUAAUGCGUUCCCUGCCCGCUAGGCAGUCAAGCUAACAUAUAAAACCCAGCCCCACCGGCUGUAAUGCGUUCCCUGCCCGCUAGGCAGUCAAGCUAACAUAUAAAACCCAGCCCCACCGGCUGUAAUGCGUUCCCUGCCCGCUAGGCAGUCAAGCUAACAUAUAAAACCCAGCCCCACCGGCUGUAAUGCGUUCCCUGCCCGCUAGGCAGUCAAGCAAACAUAUAAAAUGCGUUCCCUGCCCGCUAGGCAGUCAAGCAAACAUAUAAAAUGCGUUCCCUGCCCGCUAGGCAGUCAAGCAAACAUAUAAAAUGCGUUCCCUGCCUGCUAGGCAGUCAAGCAAACAUAUAAAAUGCGUUCCCUGCCCGCUAGGCAGUCAAGCAAACAUAUAAAAUGCGUUCCCUGCCCGCUAGGCAGUCAAGCAAACAUAUAAACCGCGUUCCCUGCCCGCUAGGCAGUCAAGCAAACAUAUAAACCGCGUUCCCUGCCCGCUAGGCAGUCAAGCAAACAUAUAAACCGCGUUCCCUGCCCGCUAGGCAGUCAAGCAAACAUAUAAACCGCGUUCCCUGCCCGCUAGGCAGUCAAGCAAACAUAUAAAAUGCGUUCCCUGCCCGCUAGGCAGUCAAGCAAACAUAUAAAAUGCGUUCCCUGCCCGCUAGGCAGUCAAGCUAUUGUCUUUUAAAAAGGGGGAAAACACACACUCCGGCCGUCACACACAUUCAAACAAAUACAGGAGGCAGAUAGACAAUCGACAGGUUCACUUUAAAAAGGCACCCCGGAUGAGCUAAAUACCUGUCUCUAGUAGCCUUCUGGAAGCCGGAAGUGGACUCGGAGACAGACCGACACAAAACAGGAGAAUAACACAGGCAACGGCUGUAUUAUGGAGGUGAUCAGGCUCCGCUUGUCCCAUUUUCUGGGGGUCCGCUCUGGUCCUUGGUAUCCGGCCCUCCGAACCGGCAAAUCCGGGGGCCCCACG